UACGUAGGGUGCAAGCGUUAAUCGGAAUUACUGGGCGUAAAGCGUGCGCAGGCGGCUUGCCAAGUCAGAUGUGAAAGCCCCGGGCUCAACCCGGGAACUGCGUUUGAAACUGGCAGGCUAGAGUUUGGCAGAGGGGGGUGGAAUUCCGCGUGUAGCAGUGAAAUGCGUAGAGAUGCGGAGGAACACCGAUGGCGAAGGCAGCCCCCUGGGCUAACACUGACGCUCAGGCACGAAAGCGUGGGGAGCAAACAGG
rnacentral:rRNA from 1 species